UACUCGUUAGCGAGAACGAAAUCAAGUGCUACAUAUUUAUCAAGGAAUUAUUAUGCAGAGCAAAAAAGGAAAUCUUGCCCUGCUGAUUUUAGCCGCGGGAUUCUUGUAAAAUUGCACCUCAACUCAUCUACACCUUGCCAGCAGGGGGCCGACAACGAGGUGCUAGUGUCCCAGUCUAUGUCAAAAGCGAGCGGGACGAAUCGGGCCCCUCGCCAACAGAAUUGGCCCUUUAUUAUUUACGGCGGAUGUUCUCCAUUGUCCACAUCGAUGGCGACACCUCCAUUAUUCCCAUAUUGGCAGAAUCGCGCCGUUCCACCAGGUUUCUGCGAGCAGAUGAAUAAUAUUUGCAGAGAAUCGAAUGGACUUGUAAUUACAUGCAAGUUUGGACAAUUUUUGACUCGGGCCGGAUGCGUGAAUCAAUAUCCCACUCCGAAAUUCGAGAAUGCCUGCAAGUCUUCGGGAUGUACCUGACGAUUUCCAUCAGCUAUCGCCGCUGAUGGAAAUCGUCACCUAUUCUAAAAGUGGGGAAACUCUAAACUGCUUUUGCAGGGCCUGAAAGUGCUCUUACGUUUUUUAUGUACAAACUUGUGUGUUAAACUUGUGUGUUAAAUGAGUAAAAAAUAAACCAGACUUCGUAAAAAAAAUCUUCAUCAAA